rnacentral:rRNA from 1 species
UACGUAGGGGGCAAGCGUUGUCCGGAUUUAUUGGGCGUAAAGAGCGUGUAGGCGGCCAUACAGGUCCGUUGUGAAAACUGGAGGCUUAACCUCCAGACGUCGAUGGAAACCGUAUGGCUAGAGUCCGGAAGAGGAGAGUGGAAUUCCUAGUGUAGCGGUGAAAUGCGCAGAUAUCAGGAGGAACACCGGUGGCGAAGGCGGGUCUCUGGGCAGUAACUGACGCUGAGGAGCGAAAGCGUGGGUAGCGAACAGG